AUUGAACGCUGGCGGCAGGCCUAACACAUGCAAGUCGAGCGAGCGGCGGACGGGUGAGCAAUGUAUGGGGACUGCCCGCUAGAGGGGGAUAACUACUGGAAACGGUAGCUAAUACCGCAUACGAUCGGAUAACCCAUAUGGGAUUAGAUAGUAGGUGAGGUAAUGGCUCAACUAGGAGACGAUCACUAGCGGGUCUGAGAGGAUGAUCAGCCACAUUGGGACUGAGACACGGCCCAGACUCCUACGGAGGCAGCAGUGGGGAAUAUGGCACAAUGGGCGCAAGCCUGAUGCAGCCAUGCCGCGUGUAUGAAGAAGGCCCUAGGGUUGUAAAGUACUUUCAGUCGGGAGGCGUUACCGGCAGAAGAAGCACCGGCUAACUCCGUGCCAGCAGCCGCGGUAAUUC
rnacentral:rRNA from 1 species